UCGGCGGACGGGUGAGUAACACGUGGGCAACCUGCCCUGUAACUGGGAUAACUUCGGGAAACCGAAGCUAAUACCGGAUAAUCAUAGAAGUUGCAUAGCUUCUAUGUAAAAGUUGGGUUUACCUAACACUACAGGAUGGGCCCGCGUCGCAUUAGCUAGUUGGUAAGGUAACGGCUUACCAAGGCCGACGAUGCGUAGCCGACCUGAGAGGGUGAUCGGCCACACUGGGACUGAGACACGGCCCAGACUCCUACGGGAGGCAGCAGUAGGGAAUCUUCCGCAAUGGACGAAAGUCUGACGGAGCAACGCCGCGUGAGCGAUGAAGGCCUUCGGGUCGUAAAGCUCUGUUGUUAGGGAAGAACAAGUGCUAUUCGAAUAGGGUGGCACCUUGCACGGUACCUAACGAGAAAGCCACGGCUACUACGUGCCAGCAGCCGCGGUAAUACGUAGGUGGCAAGCGUUGUCCGGAAUUAUUGGGCGUAAAGCGCGCGCAGGCGGUCUCUUAAGUCUGAUGUGAAAGCCCACGGCUCAACCGUGGAGGGUCAUUGGAAACUGGGAGACUUGAGUACAGAAGAGGAGAGUGGAAUUCCAUGUGUAGCGGUGAAAUGCGUACAUAUAUGGAGGAACACC
rnacentral:rRNA from 1 species